CAGUCGCCGCGGUAAUACGGAGGGUGCAAGCGUUAAUCGGAAUUACUGGGCGUAAAGCGCACGCAGGCGGUCUGACAAGUCAGAUGUGAAAUCCCCGGGCUUAACCUGGGAACUGCAUUUGAAACUGUCAGGCUGGAGUCUUGUAGAGGGGGGUAGAAUUCCAGGUGUAGCGGUGAAAUGCGUAGAGAUCUGGAGGAAUACCGGUGGCGAAGGCGGCCCCCUGGACAAAGACUGACGCUCAGGUGCGAAAGCGUGGGGAGCAAACAGGAUUAGAUACCCCUGUAGUCCAUGUCUCUUAUAC
rnacentral:rRNA from 1 species